rnacentral:rRNA from 1 species
UCUUUUCGAGAGAUAUGCAAUGGGAGUGCGCUGGGGGGUAGGACCGCCUGUGCGAAGAGCCGGGCAAGGGGUGGGGGCGCGGCGUUUGCGCUGGACGGUCAAGUAGUGAAAGGGGCGGCGGACGAUAGGAUCGCCAAGCUAGGCGGAAACCAACCUAACCGCUUACCACCGCGUGGUCCUCCGCCUCCGCUGCUGCUGCUGCUGCCACCUGGGCUACGCGGACCGCAGCGCCACCGCCAGGGGCCGCCUCACCCAACGGUGGCGUCGCCGUGACCUGAGCCUCGGGUACGGUAGGCUCGAGUUGUGGCGGUUGUCGAGCCCGGAGAAACGUCAGCAGAGGCAGCUGUUCUACAGGCAGUUCAUGGAGCCGCAGUUGGUGGUGCCGGUACUGCAGCCUCAGCACGUCCGGCUGACGGGGCGAGGGUACGUGGCUCGGCAGAUGAUGAAACUCUACUGGCACUCCUUACGACCCGAGUUCCCGGUCUGGAGGUAGCCGAAGUGGUGGCUCUCGAAGUUCUACGCGGCGGUUGGACCAACCCUUAGAGUUUCAACACCUAUGGUACCGCUACUACCGAUAGAAAUGGCCCCAGGUCCCUUUUCACUCAGAAAACCAGGGUUUAAGUGUAGUCCGCUGUAUUAACCGCGACCUUAAUUGAUGUAUCUUGUUGAAGAAAAGAAGUGUUUUUUACCUAGAGACUAACCUCGGAAAGGUUUUCUAUAAUUUCCUGGUGAUAUAGGAUGAUAACGCCAGGUAUCGGUCCUACUUCUCAACUGUCAUUUGAAGCCUUUUCUUGUCAAGACAAAACUAUAACUCCCAAUAUAAGAACUCGUCUUUUACUGCGUUGUUAGAUAAUCGCUGUUUGACAUGAACGUUGGACUAUAGUCAGUAACCUAACAAGCAAGUAUAGAGGAUGUAAUGCCGAUGGUUCUAUGUAACUCAAGAAAACUACGCCGUUCACUUUGACUGGGAGGUCGCUUAGUAGUUUGACCAAUACCCCUUGGAGGACUUUACAUACCAGAAUCGGUGUCUUUUUACAACGCAGUCGAGUAGUAUUUACCCCUAUAGCUAAGACGUAAGUUUUCCGAACUUCUCACCAUAGGUGUCCAGAAUUUCCUGCUUUAUAGUCAAUAAACGAAGAACGAAGUAAGAGUCUCUAAGUAACUUAUGUAGUCCCGACUCGUUGACCUCCCACGACAUUUUAUACGGGCACGAUUGGACCGGUUGAAAAACCGUGUGUUUCGAAAACUCCCCAACGACUUCCUCUCACACCGGGACGAACGCAUACUCUUCGGAAGUCUUAGAACGUAACCUAUAAACGACCUCAGGGGUGUCGCACUUAAACAUCGCCUGCGCCACUUACGACGGUAGGACAGUUGCUUGGGGUUUUACUUCCUAGGUCUCUCGACGGAAAUGAGCACAGACCUCUUCAAUGACUCCGUCGAGUGCCAUACGUCGAGACUCGAUGCACGCAAGUUGUCGCUAGUUCCCCUACAGAAGAAUGAAGUAUUCCUCUAGAUACUUUCUAGGUCCGCAGGGAUUCCGUGCAGCUCGUAAGUAUGCUCGUCAGUUGAGCCUUUUAUUCUAGGAGUAAGAAGAACCUUUCUUUCUUUGUAGUGGACCUUAACACCUGGUACGGUACUCCUUUGUGUGUGUAUAAGAGGGGACUCACUCCGGAGUUCCACUUACCUUUAAAGCGUCGAACCCGUAUCCUGAAAGGUCCUCGAGGAAGGGACAUUAGUCACUUAAAUCUAAGUGCACACUAGAGUUGGGGAAACCACAAAAGUAUUUGAACAACCAAUACACGUCAACGUGUAACACUUGAAAUUCUAUUUCUCGAACUUGUCAUGACAUUUACGUUAGUCUUAUGGUAAGAACAACUGCACGAUACGGUAGUCCAUACAAGCAAGGUCUCUACAUUGACACGCGAGGAAAAGUAAUAGCAUCGUAAACCCAGUUAUCGCAUACUCGUCGCCCUUCCUAUUUUCGUUGCGGUCAAAAAA